rnacentral:misc_RNA from 1 species
AAGUCGUAACAAGGUUUCCGUAGGUGAACCUGCGGAAGGAUCAUUAACACGAAUUUAUUAUCCAAUAUCAAAACCAAACGUGAACUUUUCCCCUCCCUAUUUUUAAUCAAAUAGGCUAACUUUUUAUAAAUUUUAAACCCCUUAAACUUAACUAGUUUUAGCUUAAUGUCUAAAACUACUAACUAAAAAAAUAAUCUUGAUUUUAUUAUUAAGGUUGAUUUUUUCGAUUUACGAAAAAUAAAGAACAACUCUUAACAAUGGAUAUCUUGGUUCUC